rnacentral:rRNA from 1 species
CACGUAGGGGACGAGCGUUGUCCGGAUUCACUGGGCGUAAAGCGACCGCAGGCGGCCUGACAAGUCGGAUGUGAAAGCCCUGGGCUCAACUCAGGAAUUGCAUUCGAAACUGGUAGGCUCGAGUACGGGAGAGGGGGGUGGAAUUCCUGGUGUAGGGGUGAAAUUCGUAGAUAUCAGGAGGAACACCGGUGGCGAAGGCGGCUCUCUGGACGGUGACUGACGCUGAGACGCGAAAGCGUGGGGAGCAAACAGG